rnacentral:rRNA from 1 species
UUGGAGGGCAAGUCUGGUGCCAGCAGCCGCGGUAAUUCCAGCUCCAAUAGCGUAUAUUAAAGUUGUUGCAGUUAAAAAGCUCGUAGUUGAAUUUCGGGAUUGACGUGAUGGUCAUGCCUUAAGGGGUAUGAACUGUUGCUGUUGAUUUCUCACCUUCUGGAGAAACUUGAUGUCCUUAAUUGGGUGUCUUGCGGAUCCAGGACCUUUACCUUGAAAAAAUUAGAGUGUUUAAGGCAGGCAUUUUUGCUCGAAUACAUUAGCAUGGAAUAAUAGAAUAGGACGGCAUGGAUCUAUUUUGUCGGUUUCUAGGAUCACCGUAAUGAUUAAUAGGGAUAGUUGGGGGCAUUAGUAUUCAAUUGUCAGAGGUGAAAUUCUCGGAUUUAUUGAAGACUAACUACUGCGAAAGCAUUUGCCAAGGAUGUUUUCAUUAAUCAAGAACGAAAGUUAGGGGAUCGAAGACGAUCAGAUACCGUCGUAGUCUUAACCAUAAACUAUGCCGACUAGGAAUCAGACGAUGUUAAUUUUUUAAUGACUCGUUUGGCACCUUACGGGAAACCAAAGUGUUUGGGUUC